GGGUCGUUAGCUCAAUGGUAGAGCAGCUGCCUCUUAAGCAGUUGGUUCUGGGUUCGAGUCCCGGACGACCCACCA
rnacentral:tRNA from 5 species